rnacentral:tRNA from 1 species
UCGCCUGGUAGCUCAACGGAUAGAGCGCCCCUUUCGUAAGGGUGGAGGCUGCGGGUUCGAGUCCCGCCCAGCUUGG